UUGGGAUCCCGGGUGCGGACAUGGCACGGCUCAUCAAGCCAUCCUGUGACUCUUCAAGGUGUGAAAAUUAAUAAAGGGAAACCUUACACAAAAUGGAGUGGGGAGGCCAGAAGGGGGAGCCCUCAGCACUACCGCUCUGCGUCAAUUCCAGGAAAGAUCGUCCGUCACAGGCCCCGGAAGAGACGUCCACUGCCUUCCAGACAAGAAAGACCACUCCAGCAACCCAGCCAACGAGAAACAGUCACCACCCUGAACAAGACCUUGUUUUCCACCAAUGGGCUUCUGUUCAAAACAACCCUCCCAACUUCCUCCUUUUUCUCUAUAAAAUAAAGUCCCUCUCCUUUGUGUGCUA
rnacentral:lncRNA from 1 species